ACGCAAUACAUAUCACAGAAGGAAAAAAAGGGGGAACAGAGAAGAAGCAAAGGGAAAUGAAAAACUGAGGAAAGGGAGAAGAGGGAUCAGGGAAGCACCACGAAGAACAGAGAGACGUGCGCGAUCGAGGGAGAAGGUAGCGUUGCCACCAUGCCUCAUCAUCGUCGCUGAAGCUCUCCUUGCCACUAUCAACGCCAUUUAGGGCAGAAGAGAAGAGGAAGAAUGACAGAGAAAAGAGAUUGGAGCUGCUACAGGAACGGCGGUUCCUGCUUCUAACCUCUGCUCUUUUGAUUUCUGGAGCUACCGUGGGUGGAGCUUGUCAUCAAAGGAAGCAAGCUGCCGCCACCAACUCUUAAUUAAGCCAGUAUCCUCCUCUUUGUUCUGAUUCCAAUUUUCCCAUUUUUGAAACUCCCUUUUUUGGCUCCUAUUCCCUGCUACAAUUAGGUCGAGUGUUGAAGCUGGUGCUGCCAUGGGACGGUUGAAGCUGUUACUGAUUCUGAAUUUGCUAUCUGGUGCUGCGAAGGCUAAUGUUGUUGCUGUUCCGGUUGUGGUUGCGUGAGAGUUACCGCUGCUGCCCUGAAACUAGAAGAGAAGAGAGUUGUUACGUUAAAGUAUGCGAUUGCGACAUCGAGUGACACAGGUUUGAAGAUGCAAUAUGAAGCUGCAAGUGAUUAGUAGGCUUUCUUUAUGGUUUUAAUUGCUUUCAUAGAGUCCCCUCGCUCUUGUCCUUUGAGGUUUUAUUUUAACAGAGGAGUAGGUGUUGUAUUUGGGUUUAUAUGACUUCUUAUGUAUAAAAAUUGCUAUUAAUAAUACUUAUGUGAUUGUUAUUAUUAUUUGCAAUGUUUAUCCUUGAUA